rnacentral:rRNA from 1 species
AACGAACGCUGGCGGCAUGCCUAACACAUGCAAGUCGAACGGGAUCCUGGUUUCGGCCAGGUGAGAGUGGCGGACGGGUGAGUAACACGUGGGUAACCUGCCCUGGAGACCGGGAUACCCUCUCGAAAGGGAGGCUAAUACCGGAUACGUUCCCUGGACCGAAAGAUCUGGGGAGGAAAGGUGGCGCAAGCUGCCGCUCUUGGAGGGGCUCGCGGCCUAUCAGCUAGUUGGUGAGGUGANGGCUCACCAAGGCGAUGACGGGUAGCUGGUCUGAGAGGACGACCAGCCACACGGGGACUGAGACAC